rnacentral:rRNA from 1 species
GCGUGCGCAGGCGGUUAUAUAAGACAGAUGUGAAAUCCCCGGGCUCAACCUGGGAAACUGGCAUUUGUUGACUGUAUAGCUAGAGUACGGCAGAGGGGGAUGGAAUUCCGCGUGUAGCAGUGAAAUGCGUAGAUAUAGCGGAGGAACACCGAUGGCGAAGGCAAUCCCCUGGGCCUGUACUGACGCUCAUGCACGAAAGCGUGGGGACGCAAACAGGAUUAGACUACCCUGGUAG